rnacentral:rRNA from 1 species
UACGUAGGGUGCGAGCGUUAAUCGGAAUUACUGGGCGUAAAGUGUGCGCAGGCGGCAAAGCAAGUCGAGUGUGAAAGCCCCGGGCUUAACCUGGGAAUGGCGGUUGAAACUAGUCGACUAGAAUCUGGCAGAGGGGGGUGGAAUUCCACGUGUAGCAGUGAAAUUCGUAGAUAUUCGCAAGAACACCAGUGGCGAAGGCGGCUCACUGGCCCGGUACUGACGCUGAGGUGCGAAAGCGUGGGGAGCAAACAGG